rnacentral:rRNA from 1 species
GAUGAACGCUAGCGGCAGGCUUAAUACAUGCAAGUCAAGGGGGUAGCAAUACAACCGGCGCACGGGUGAGUAACGCGUACACAACAUACCAUAUACUGGGGUAUAGCUUUGGGAAACUGAAGGUAAUCCCCAUAACAUUGCGAGAGGGCAUCUGAUUGCAAUUAAAGUUUCGACGGUAUAUGAUUGGUGUGCGUUUGAUUAGCUUGUUGGUAGGGUAACGGCCUACCAAGGCGACGAUCAAUAGCUGGCGUGAGAGCGCGACCAGCCACACUGGGAACUGAGACACGGUCCAGACUCCUACGGGAGGCAGCAGUAGGGAAUAUUGGACAAUGGGCGAAAGCCUGAUCCAGCCAUGCCGCGUGAUAGAUGAAGGCCCUCUGGGUUGUAAAUAUCUUUUAUCUGGGAAGAAACCCCUCGUUUCUACGAGGCUUGACGGUACCAGAGGAAUAAGCACCGGCUAACUCCGUGCCAGCAGCCGCGGUAAAACGUAG